rnacentral:lncRNA from 1 species
CCUGAUCCUGGUCAGCGCUGGCAUUUCGCACCGGAGCUGGCCGAGCAGCGUGCGUCUGCGUGCAGGAGGCAGUGACGGGCAUGGCGCGGACUACGUCCGUCUGGCGUCUGGCUGGCGGAGGAGCUGGCCGACAGCGUGGAGGGAAGCGAUGCCGGUGGGACUGCAGCGGAGAGACUCGGAAGGAGGCAGAAGGUAAGCGGGGGGCAGGUGUUUCCUUGCAGGGUGCUGACAGCGCCCUGCCGUUGCCCUGGGCUGUGUUGGAGGUGGUCACAGCUCAGUGGUGGCAUCCUAGGAGGUGACACAGGGCCACCAGAGCAGGACAGGAGGGUGCCAGGUCAGCGUGGUGAGUGGGUGGCAAUGUGCAUGGAAGGAGGAGGAGAGGCAGGGGGACGCCUGCAUGGCAAAGUCGGGCCUGGGGACCCCUGGGCUGUGGAGCACAGUGGUUUCGGGAGGGCUCUGCAGAGGUCCUUCUGCAGAGAAGUCUUUGGGUUAGAGAGGAAAUGGCUGGUGGAAGACCCCCCUGCAGCGGGUAAGGGGUGCUUUUAUUUUAUUUGUUUGGUCCAGGGCCCAGGGGCAGGAUGUGCCAUGACGUGUCCCUUUGGAGCAGAAGCGGUGCUGCGCAGCUCAGUAGAGAGAAAAUCAAGCCGGCGGGCUCGGCCGCUUUCCCGCGCUGAAGGAGGGAAUGAGGAGCGUGCAAAUGUGGUGCUUCCCCCGAAAGCAGCGACUCUCCGAGCAACGCUCGCUUCCUACGGACGUCUCUGAGCCACAAAAGGUGCCAAGAAGCCCGGGUCUUCUCCGACUCUAUYAAAGCUGCUUUCCUUCUGUAAGCAACCAGAAUAUGAACGACGCUGUCUGUAAAGCAGUUCCUGCUCCGGGCUCAGUUACAUCGCCGGUGUUGGUUACGCCGAGCACAAUGGCGGGGCUGGUGCAAAGCUCUCAAUAAAACUUCAUAAACCUUCUACGUCUGCUUCUUU